GACGAACGCUGGCGGCGUGCUUAACACAUGCAAGUCGAACGGAAAGGCCCUGCUUUUGUGGGGUGCUCGAGUGGCGAACGGGUGAGUAACACGUGAGUAACCUGCCCUUGACUUUGGGAUAACUUCAGGAAACUGGGGCUAAUACCGGAUAGGAGCUCCUGCUGCAGGGUGGGGGUUGGAAAGUUUCGGCGGUUGGGGAUGGACUCGCGGCUUAUCAGCUUGUUGGUGGGGUAGUGGCUUACCAAGGCUUUGACGGGUAGCCGGCCUGAGAGGGUGACCGGCCACACUGGGACUGAGAUACGGCCCAGACUCCUACGGGAGGCAGCAGUGGGGAAUAUUGCACAAUGGGCGGAAGCCUGAUGCAGCAACGCCGCGUGCGGGAUGACGGCAUUCGGGUUGUAAACCGCUUUCGCCUGUGACGAAGCGUGAGUGACGGUAAUGGGUAAAGAAGCACCGGCUAACUACGUG
rnacentral:rRNA from 1 species